AAACAAACACAUUCUACUUUGGGGUGGCCCUUUGCAAAACCUGAGGUGAUGUCACAAUGUUGGACAUAGUGUGACACUGUGGGAGGGGCGAAGCUGAAUAUUCUCCACACACAACAAUUACUGGUGUCAUGUGAAAGUGAGCACUCCAAUCCCUGGGUUUUAUGUCCACUUAGAAUGACCUUGCCCAAAGGAGUCUCCUGCAUCCAUUCCCCACACCGCCAGCCUCCUACACUGCCAGGCUUGACUUAAGGAGACAUUAUUGAUUUGUAACCUCAGAAUGCUGUCCUGUAACACCGCUUAUGUUCCUAGAUCUAUUUCUGCACUGUGGUCAGGAACGCCCUCCACACGUCCUGAGUUGAAGUGUGUGUGCUUGCUCGGUCUGUGUUUUGUCUUUUUUCUUCUGUUUUUCUUACUCCAGCGAUGUCUAUUAGCAGAGACAUGGGCCAGGGAAGGGUGAUGGAUACAGCCAGGGGUGGGAUAUCAGCCUCAAAGUGCAGAGCUUUGCUCUGAAUCUCAGCAGGCAGCCAAAGGGACUGAGACAAAGCUCUUCCUUUCAAGUUGGCAUGGCAAUCAACUUGGAAAUCAGGUUCCCCGGGCCUUUGCCUUCCUAACAAAGGAUCCAGCCUCCUCCAACUGGGUCUCCACUCAGCCCCUGUAGAAAAGUGCUGACAGUAUUAAGUUCUACUCUUCCCUAAGACCCCAGGAGGUCCUCACCGUGCAUAGAUGUGCCAUCUGUUCUUGAGAAACCAAAGCACUUUAGUGAGUCUUACAACCCAUAAUACUUACAGUAUUUGCCCUCUGAAAGGUGGAAGGGGCUUGGGCUAGGUCUCAUUUGAGAGGCAACUAGAGCUAGGAGGAAAAGCCUGGAGCUAGACAGCAGGGAGCUAAGCCACAUCUGCACCACCACAAGCUAUGAACCUCGGGUAGGUUGCUGAAUUUUGCUGCCCCCCCCCCCUAGACAGUUGUGGGGAGGUCCUAACAGCUACCCUCCUGGGAUGGCAGAAAAGGAAGGGAAUAAUAUAACUGGUGGGACACGCUUUGAAGAAAUCAGAAGCUCUCUCCAGAGGGGAGGGAGGAUCAUGUAUAGAUGAAGAAGUUGACAUCCGUACUCACUGCCUGGCCAGGUUCACAGUCUCACAGCAGAACUGGGACAUGAGCCCCGCCACCUGGAGUGUCCCUGAUAGAGCACCUUUCACCCAGAGUGUGUACAUGAACACAGGCUGCUUCUCUGUGCCAGUGUGUGCACAUAUGUGGGUGUGUCUGUAUGGGGGGUGUGUGCAGCACAGAUGAACGUAGGACAGAAACUCCGAGUCCUAAUUCCUUUCUAACAGUCGACCUGUCUGUGGCCUGGGACACACAACCAACUCUUCUGGACCUCAGAUUUUCUAAGUCAUAAAACAAGGACAUUGUGGCAUGGGAUCUUUGUGGUUCUUCCAACUUUGGUGACGAGAGCCCCUAACGGGUGAUGUAUGUAUGUAUAUAUCGAUAUGCUUAUCUGUAGAAACGGGCCCAUUGGGAAAUUGGAGACGAGGCCUGCCCGAGUGCAUUGACUUGUAACAGAAUCGGCAACUUCACAAGUCCGUAAGCCUUCAUUUUAAAAGUCGAUGGGAUGGUGUCAUUUACUGUCAUUGUUUCAAAUUCACUGUUGAACUGGGUAGAGGAUUGGUGCUGUUUUAAAAACUAAGUUCUUAGCUCACAAGUGUUUGCUGUUACUUUUCAAAACACGAGUCAUUUGUUCAAAAGUCAAACUUUUAACUCUGCCUUGGGCAGGUCCCCAACAGCCUGUUUUGCAGGCUGGGUUUUGUGUAUGGGCUUUUACAUAACUAUAUAAAAGUUAGCUGUUGGCUUGAUCAUGGUAAAUAUGAACAGAUUGCCUGGAGAACAGUCCAGAAAAGAAUUGAAUUCUAUAGUUCUCAUCAACUGGUGACAUGAAACCAUUAAGCUGUGUGCAAUUCCCUGGUGUGAAGAUAUUGUUCACUGGCUACAGUCUCUGACUUUGUGGCAUAUGAGGUAUAAAAUGUUGUAAAAAAAAAAAAUCUGGUGUUUAAAAGAAUCAAAGUAUGGUGGCAUUAAAUGUUCACUUUUAUCCU
rnacentral:lncRNA from 1 species